rnacentral:rRNA from 1 species
CGCCGCGUGAGUGAAGAAGGUUUUCGGAUCGUAAAGCUCUGUUGUUGGUGAAGAAGGACAUGGGUAGUAACUGAUCUAUGUUUGACGGUAAUCAACCAGAAAGUCACGGCUAACUACGUGCCAGCAGCCGCGGUAAUACGUAGGUGGCAAGCGUUGUCCGGAUUUAUUGGGCGUAAAGCGAACGCAGGCGGGAGAACAAGUCAGCUGUGAAAGCCCUCGGCUUAACCGAGGAACGGCAACUGAAACUGUUUUUCUUGAGUGCAGAAGAGGAGAGUGGAACUCCAUGUGUAGCG